rnacentral:rRNA from 1 species
UGAGACAGGUGCUGCAUGGCUGUCGUCAGCUCGUGUUGUGAAAUGUUGGGUUAAGUCCCGCAACGAGCGCAACCCUUAUCCUUUGUUGCCAGCGAUUCGGUCGGGAACUCAAAGGAGACUGCCGGUGAUAAACCGGAGGAAGGUGGGGAUGACGUCAAGUCAUCAUGGCCCUUACGAGUAGGGCUACACACGUGCUACAAUGGCGCAUACAAAGAGAAGCGACCUCGCGAGAGCAAGCGGACCUCACAAAGUGCGUCGUAGUCCGGAUCGGAGUCUGCAACUCGACUCCGUGAAGUCGGAAUCGCUAGUAAUCGUGGAUCAGAAUGCCACGGUGAAUACGUUCCCGGGCCUUGUACACACCGCCCGUCACACCAUGGGAGUGGGUGCAAAAGAAGUAGGUAGCUUAACCUUCGGGAGGGCGC